UACAGAGGUCCCAAGCGUUGUCCGGAUUCAUUGGGCGUAAAGGGUGCGUAGGCGGCGCGGUAAGUCGGCUGUGAAAUCCCGGAGCUUAACUCCGAAACGGCAUUCGAUACUGCCGUGCUUGAGGACUGGAGAGGAGACUGGAAUUUACGGUGUAGCGGUGAAAUGCGUAGAUAUCGUAAGGAAGACCAGUGGCGAAGGCGGGUCUCUGGACAGUGCCUGACGCUGAGGCACGAAGGCCAGGGGAGCAAACGGG
rnacentral:rRNA from 1 species